rnacentral:rRNA from 1 species
GAUGAACGCUAGCUACAGGCUUAACACAUGCAAGUCGAGGGGAAACGGCAUUUAGUGCUUGCACCGAAUGGACGUCGACCGGCGCACGGGUGAGUAACGCGUAUCCAACCUACCCAUUACUGUGGGAUAACCUGCCGAAAGGCAGACUAAUACCGCAUAGUCUUCGAUGACGGCAUCAGAUUUGAAGUAAAGAUUUAUCGGUAAUGGAUGGGGAUGCGUCUGAUUAGCUUGUUGGCGGGGUAACGGCCCACCAAGGCGACGAUCAGUAGGGGUUCUGAGAGGAAGGUCCCCCACAUUGGAACUGAGAUACGGUCCAAACUCCUACGGGAGGCAGCAGUGAGGAAUAUUGGUCAAUGGACGAGAGUCUGAACCAGCCAAGUAGCGUGCAGGAUGACGGCCCUAUGGGUUGUAAACUGCUUUUGUAUGGGGAUAAAGUCAAUCACGUGUGAUUGUUUGCAGGUACCAUAUGAAUAAGGACCGGCUAAUUCCGUGCCAGCAGCCGCGGUAAUACGGAAGGUCCGGGCGUUAUCCGGAUUUAUUGGGUUUAAAGGGAGCGUAGGCCGGAGAUUAAGUGUGUUGUGAAAUGUAGACGCUCAACGUCUGACUUGCAGCGCAUACUGGUUUCCUUGAGUACGCACAACGUUGGCGGAAUUCGUCGUGUAGCGGUGAAAUGCUUAGAUAUGACGAAGAACUCCGAUUGCGAAGGCAGCUGACGGGAGCGCAACUGACGCUUAAGCUCGAAGGUGCGGGUAUCGAACAGG